GAAACCCUGAGACCCAGACUUUUCUCGUUGGAUGAAAGAUUCCUCAUGCUGAACAAACUCAAAAAGAAAAGAAACACAAAAAAACACAUCAAACUUACUGUAGAACUCCCUCUGUCUAGACACCUCCUGAGCUUGGGAAAGCCAGAGGCAUUUCCAGGGCAGCCAAGAGACAUAAUUCUUCAAGCGUGAUCUGGGUCGUCCCCUGGGCCUCCUCCCAGUGGAACCUGCCUGGAAAAUGUCUCGAAGGAGGCAUGCGGGUGGCUUCCGGCAAAAAUGUUUGAGCUAUCUCAGAGGACUCCUCUAGGUGUGGAGAAGAAGCGGCUCUACUCCGAACUUCUCCUGGAAGACCGAGCUCCUCACCCCAUCUAACAAAGUUCUAAGCCACCCUGAAGAUAAGCUUAAUUCAGCUGCUUUUUCAGUAUAUAUAAAGGGUAUUCAACGAAAUAGACCAAGUCAACAGGUUGCAUAACCAUAAAAUAAAAAGAAAGGGGAUACAAUAGUGUUGUGCAGUUGUAUCUCUCACCCCUUUACUCUGACAUCCCAAAAUGAUAUUCAGUGCAACCAAUUGCUGUUAAGAUUUAUCUUAUUUAAAAUCUCAGUAUAAGACUUGC